rnacentral:rRNA from 1 species
GGUUAAGCGACUAAGCGUACACGGUGGAUGCCCUGGCAGUCAGAGGCGAUGAAGGACGUGCUAAUCUGCGAUAAGCGUCGGUAAGGUGAUAUGAACCGUUAUAACCGGCGAUUUCCGAAUGGGGAAACCCAGUGUGAUUCGUCACACUAUCAUUAACUGAAUCCAUAGGUUAAUGAGGCGAACCGGGGGAACUGAAACAUCUAAGUACCCCGAGGAAAAGAAAUCAACCGAGAUUCCCCCAGUAGCGGCGAGCGAACGGGGAGGAGCCCAGAGCCUGAAUCAGUGUGUGUGUUAGUGGAAGCGUCUGGAAAGGCGCGCGAUACAGGGUGACAGCCCCGUACACAAAAAUGCACAUGCUGUGAGCUCGAUGAGUAGGGCGGGACACGUGGUAUCCUGUCUGAAUAUGGGGGGACCAUCCUCCAAGGCUAAAUACUCCUGACUGACCGAUAGUGAACCAGUACCGUGAGGGAAAGGCGAAAAGAACCCCGGCGAGGGGAGUGAAAAAGAACCUGAAACCGUGUACGUACAAGCAGUGGGAGCCUCUUUAUGGGGUGACUGCGUACCUUUUGUAUAAUGGGUCAGCGACUUAUAUUCUGUAGCAAGGUUAACCGAAUAGGGGAGCCGAAGGGAAACCGAGUCUUAACUGGGCGUUAAGUUGCAGGGUAUAGACCCGAAACCCGGUGAUCUAGCCAUGGGCAGGUUGAAGGUUGGGUAACACUAACUGGAGGACCGAACCGACUAAUGUUGAAAAAUUAGCGGAUGACUUGUGGCUGGGGGUGAAAGGCCAAUCAAACCGGGAGAUAGCUGGUUCUCCCCGAAAGCUAUUUAGGUAGCGCCUCGUGAAUUCAUCUCCGGGGGUAGAGCACUGUUUCGGCAAGGGGGUCAUCCCGACUUACCAACCCGAUGCAAACUGCGAAUACCGGAGAAUGUUAUCACGGGAGACACACGGCGGGUGCUAACGUCCGUCGUGAAGAGGGAAACAACCCAGACCGCCAGCUAAGGUCCCAAAGUCAUGGUUAAGUGGGAAACGAUGUGGGAAGGCCCAGACAGCCAGGAUGUUGGCUUAGAAGCAGCCAUCAUUUAAAGAAAGCGUAAUAGCUCACUGGUCGAGUCGGCCUGCGCGGAAGAUGUAACGGGGCUAAACCAUGCACCGAAGCUGCGGCAGCGACACUAUGUGUUGUUGGGUAGGGGAGCGUUCUGUAAGCCUGUGAAGGUGUGCUGUGAGGCAUGCUGGAGGUAUCAGAAGUGCGAAUGCUGACAUAAGUAACGAUAAAGCGGGUGAAAAGCCCGCUCGCCGGAAGACCAAGGGUUCCUGUCCAACGUUAAUCGGGGCAGGGUGAGUCGACCCCUAAGGCGAGGCCGAAAGGCGUAGUCGAUGGGAAACAGGUUAAUAUUCCUGUACUUGGUGUUACUGCGAAGGGGGGACGGAGAAGGCUAUGUUGGCCGGGCGACGGUUGUCCCGGUUUAAGCGUGUAGGCUGGUUUUCCAGGCAAAUCCGGAAAAUCAAGGCUGAGGCGUGAUGACGAGGCACUACGGUGCUGAAGCAACAAAUGCCCUGCUUCCAGGAAAAGCCUCUAAGCAUCAGGUAACAUCAAAUCGUACCCCAAACCGACACAGGUGGUCAGGUAGAGAAUACCAAGGCGCUUGAGAGAACUCGGGUGAAGGAACUAGGCAAAAUGGUGCCGUAACUUCGGGAGAAGGCACGCUGAUAUGUAGGUGAAGUCCCUCGCGGAUGGAGCUGAAAUCAGUCGAAGAUACCAGCUGGCUGCAACUGUUUAUUAAAAACACAGCACUGUGCAAACACGAAAGUGGACGUAUACGGUGUGACGCCUGCCCGGUGCCGGAAGGUUAAUUGAUGGGGUCAGCGCAAGCGAAGCUCUUGAUCGAAGCCCCGGUAAACGGCGGCCGUAACUAUAACGGUCCUAAGGUAGCGAAAUUCCUUGUCGGGUAAGUUCCGACCUGCACGAAUGGCGUAAUGAUGGCCAGGCUGUCUCCACCCGAGACUCAGUGAAAUUGAACUCGCUGUGAAGAUGCAGUGUACCCGCGGCAAGACGGAAAGACCCCGUGAACCUUUACUAUAGCUUGACACUGAACAUUGAGCCUUGAUGUGUAGGAUAGGUGGGAGGCUUUGAAGUGUGGACGCCAGUCUGCAUGGAGCCGACCUUGAAAUACCACCCUUUAAUGUUUGAUGUUCUAACGUUGACCCGUAAUCCGGGUUGCGGACAGUGUCUGGUGGGUAGUUUGACUGGGGCGGUCUCCUCCUAAAGAGUAACGGAGGAGCACGAAGGUUGGCUAAUCCUGGUCGGACAUCAGGAGGUUAGUGCAAUGGCAUAAGCCAGCUUGACUGCGAGCGUGACGGCGCGAGCAGGUGCGAAAGCAGGUCAUAGUGAUCCGGUGGUUCUGAAUGGAAGGGCCAUCGCUCAACGGAUAAAAGGUACUCCGGGGAUAACAGGCUGAUACCGCCCAAGAGUUCAUAUCGACGGCGGUGUUUGGCACCUCGAUGUCGGCUCAUCACAUCCUGGGGCUGAAGUAGGUCCCAAGGGUAUGGCUGUUCGCCAUUUAAAGUGGUACGCGAGCUGGGUUUAGAACGUCGUGAGACAGUUCGGUCCCUAUCUGCCGUGGGCGCUGGAGAACUGAGGGGGGCUGCUCCUAGUACGAGAGGACCGGAGUGGACGCAUCACUGGUGUUCGGGUUGUCAUGCCAAUGGCACUGCCCGGUAGCUAAAUGCGGAAGAGAUAAGUGCUGAAAGCAUCUAAGCACGAAACUUGCCCCGAGAUGAGUUCUCCCUGACCCUUUAAGGGUCCUGAAGGAACGUUGAAGACGACGACGUUGAUAGGCUGGGUGUGUAAGCGCAGCGAUGCGUUGAGCUAACCGGUACUAAUGAACCGUGAGGCUUAACCUU